rnacentral:rRNA from 1 species
AACGAACGCUGGCGGCAUGCCUAACACAUGCAAGUCGAACGAAGGCUCCGGCCUUAGUGGCGCACGGGUGCGUCACGCGUGGGAAUCUGCCCUUUGCUUCGGAAUAACAGUUAGAAAUGACUGCUAAUACCGGAUGAUGUCGCAUGACCAAAGAUUUAUCGGCAAAGGAUGAGCCCGCGUAGGAUUAGCUUGUUGGUGGGGUAAAGGCCUACCAGGGCGACGAUCCUUAGCUUGUCUGAGAGGAUGAUCAGCCACACUGGGACUGAGACACGGCCCAGAAUCCUACGGGAGGCAGCAGUGGGGAAUAGUGGACAACGGGCGGAAGCAUGAUCCAGCAAUGCCGCGUGAGUGAUGAAGGCCUUAGAGUAGUAAAGCUCUUUUACCCGGGAUGAUAAUGACAGUACCGAGAGAAUAAGCUCCGGCUAACUCCGUG